rnacentral:rRNA from 1 species
GAUGAACGCUGGCGGCGUGCCUAAUACAUGCAAGUCGAGCGGACAGACGAUGAUCUUGCUCCUCUCACGUUUGCCGAGGGCGUGUGAGUAACACGUGGAUAACCUCCCUAUCAUACUGGUAUAACUUCGGGAAUCCGGCUAUAAUACCGGAUAAUAUCUUGCACCACGUGGUUCGAUAGUAAGAUACGGUUUUGCUGUCUCUUCUAGCUGCAUCCGCGCCUCAUUGGCUAGUUGUUAAGGUAACGGCUUACCAAGGCAACGAUGCGUAGCCGAGCUGAGGGGGUGAUCGGCCACACUGGAACUGAGACACGGUCCAGACGCCUACGGGAGGCAGCAGUAGGGAAUCUGCCGCAAUGGGCGGAAGAAUGACGGAGAAACGCCGCGUGAGUGAUGAAGGUCUUCGGAUCGUAAAACUCUGUUAUUAGGGAAGAACAAAUGUGUAAGUAACUAUGCACGUCUUGACGGUACAUAAUCAGAAAGCCACGGCUAAAUACGUG